ncrna:unclassified sequences DTF805b RNA
AAGGCGAAACCCGAAAAGCCUAUAAAAGAGUAGGAA